UUAGGUUGAUUGUACCUUGGGCUUGGAGUGUUUUUCAAAAAAAAAAAAAUGAUUGUGGCUCUGCUUCAUACAUGUGUCCACUCUUGAAUACUUGAAUGGUGAGACAGAGAUGGAGACGGAGUAGAGCGUCCUGAAUCCGACUCAGCUUCUCUCUGAAAAAAGAAUUUGCGAUGAAUCGGAGCUCCGAGCCUCUGAUUGAAUGCUGAAAGAAUCGAUGUUUAACUUUGUCUCCGAAGAAGCGACGACGACCACCACGUACUACCCGCCGUAACGACCACCGACAACACCACCGGUAUCUAGACUGUCACCAGUGGUUCAAUCGGACGCCAAUGUACUUUCUACAACCCUAACUCUAGAACAAAUCACCCAAAAAAAGAAAUCAAGAAGAGGUAUGGGAGAACAUUCCGAACAUUCCAGAAUGCAUCCAACUCAUAGAGGAAUUCCGUGAGCUGCCAGUUAAUCACAAAGCCAAAGAAGACAAAGUAGAGGUAACAUUCAAUUCACUUAGUUUGAUUACAUGUGGAAAUUUUGUCUUACAAGCGGAAACUUUUAUGAAUCGUUUAAGUAGAUUAAGACUUGUGUUAGUCAGAAAGAAGUUGUUCUCAUGACUGAACCUGAACAAACUUUUCUUGCCCUAAUUUCUUUCUCCAGAGGUAGAAUUUUUUUAAAGUUUAUAUGUUGUAACCAUAGAAUUAGGGUUUGGAUGUUAAAUUGAGUUUCUAUAAGUAACAGAUGUAUGAUUGUUGAAUCUAUAGUAGUUGAUGUGUUCAAUAGUAGUUUUUUUAAGAAAUUGAAAUUGUUGAUAUAUUUUGCGUUAAUCUUUUUUUCAUGACUUAAUUUUUACAUAUAUAAGAUUUAUAUCGAGGAUUCGAGGGAAUUGCUUGGGCGGUGGGUGAGAAACACAUUUUUUUGCGUGUGACUUGGUUACAUCCGGUUGCUAUGAUUUCUUCACGAGAGCGAUGUCACCCUGCUCCCAUUACUGGCCCGGUAGGAUGGAUGACAAGUGUAGAUCUAUAUAUUUCAUAUACGGGGUAGAUGGAUUGGAUAACAUGUAAAAAAAGUGUUGGGUUGAUUCGAAAUAUAUUUUAGUUUUACAUUCUAUAUAUAACAAGUUUCAGUGUUUAUACAGUAAAAAGGACAUUUUGAGCAAGUUUCAUUUUAGGCUAAUUUUGUUUGUUUUACGUGUUUGACCAGCUAUGAUAAAACAUAACCGGUACUGACUCAUACUAACGAAAUAGUUGAAGCAUAAUAUAUCUAUCUCUGUGACCAACAUAACUAAUGGGAUAGGCAGCACUUUGAGAGGAUUUGCUAAGCAAUGCAUGGAGGAAUCUACUGUAAGCGUGCCUACUGGUGUUAGUCCAUAUGUCAUGCAAACUUUUUACUCUAUAUUUGAUACAAAGGUGAGUUUGAUUAAACAAGUUUCAAAAAUUUAGCUGGUUUUAAAAUUUAGAGCAGAAUACGUGUUGUGUUUACUUUCUUUUUGCAGCAAUGAAAGAUGUGCUAGGAAUGGUCUUUCUUAAAAAAAGUUAUGGUCCUCCUUAACAAAAACCAAGACGAGAUGACACUGAAGAAGCUGAAGAUGAUGUGUAAAGCCUUACUUCUAAGAUAAUGCUCAUAAAUUCACAUAUGUUACGAGGCAAUUUCUUAGGCUCUGUAUUGGACAAGGGAGACAAAGCUACUAAAAGGUUCACUUACUUCCUUGGGAAACCUAGCCGCUUGGUACGCUAUAAUGAAGCUGAAGCGCACAUCAACCGACACCUCACUCUGUUUGUGUGCACGAUGUAAGAAGUAAAGAAAGGUCGCCAAGAAUGAACUACAACCACUUUUGUAAGGUCAAGGCUUACAUAAAGCAGCUCAUCAUUUUUAACCACAAGUUCCACAACAGCUAGGAGAUGUGAAUAUAUGUUUGUUGCGUGUUAAUUUCUAAGCCCCCGGCCGCAUCGCGGCGGGUGCUUUCAUCUAGUUUAAAUAAAAUAAAACAGUUUUAUUAAAUAAUUACAAUACAGAAAUGAAAGAAAGCAAUAAAUUACAGAAC